AAUUUUGGACAAUGGGGGAAACCCUGAUCCAGCCAUGCCGCGUGUGUGAAGAAGGUCUUCUGAUUGUAAUGCACUUUAAGUUGGGAGGAAGAGUUGUAGGCUAAUACCUUGCAAUUUUGACGUUACCAACAGAAUAAGUACCGGCUACCUUCGUGUCAGCAGCCGCGGUAAUACGAAGGGUGCAAGCGUUAAUCGGAAUUACUGGGCGUAAAGCGGGCGUAGGUGGUUCGUUAAGUUGGAAGUGAAAGCCCCGGGCUUAACCUGGGAAUUGCUUUCAAAACUGACGAGCUAGAGUACAGUAGAGGGUAGUGGAAUUUCCUGUGUAGCGGUGAAAUGCGUAGAUAUAGGAAGGAACAUCAGUGGCGAAGGCGACUACCUGGACUGAUACUGACACUGAGGUGCGAAAGCGUGGGGAGCAAACAGG
rnacentral:rRNA from 1 species